rnacentral:lncRNA from 1 species
CUGGUAUUGCUGGGGGAAGCUUGACAAGCAUAGUUAUCCUGAAAACUGCCAAAGCAAGUUCCACAUCACGGUGGAGCAGGAUCUGCUAACCCUUCUGGAGCACCUGAGAUCACCCCCAGUUUUUGGUGGGGUUCAUGUUGCUCAGUCUUUAGUUUUCUAUGUGGUGUCUUCUAUACUAUUAUUUGUCUGUUUGUCUUUUUAUUUUUACCUAUGGCGUUGUCAGUUUAUUUUCAAUCUAUAACUUUGACUUUCCCUCUGGUAUCUUUCGUCCCUCCCUCUUUUGCAAGUACAAACAGAGAGGAAAUAAAUGUCUUGAUUUUUCACAGGGGAGAGCUGCUGAAAACUUAGACAGUCCCAAGGUACUCUGUAUUUUGUC